rnacentral:rRNA from 1 species
ACGAAGGGAGCGAGCGUUAUUCGGUUUCACUGGGCUUAAAGGGCGCGUAGGCGGUUGGAUGUGUCGGUUGUGAAAUCCCCGGGCUCAACUCGGGAAUUGCUUCCGAAACUAUCUGACUUGAGGCAUUUUUUGGGUGACUGGAACUCUUGGUGGAGCGGUGACAUGCGUAGAGAUCAAGAGGAACGCCGGUGGUGAAGACGGGUCACUGGAAAUGUCCUGACGCUGAGGCGCGAAAGCUAGGGGAGCGAACGG